rnacentral:rRNA from 1 species
UAAGAGACAGCAGUCGCCCGGUAAUACAGAGGGUGCGAGCGUUAAUCGGAUUUACUGGGCGUAAAGCGUGCGUAGGCGGCUUUUUAAGUCGGAUGUGAAAUCCCUGAGCUUAACUUAGGAAUUGCAUUCGAUACUGGGAAGCUAGAGUAUGGGAGAGGAUGGUAGAAUUCCAGGUGUAGCGGUGAAAUGCGUAGAGAUCUGGAGGAAUACCGAUGGCGAAGGCAGCCAUCUGGCCUAAUACUGACGCUGAGGUACGAAAGCAUGGGGAGCAAACAGGAUUAGAGACCCCCGUAGUCCCUGUCUCUUAUACA